CCAACAGGGAUUGCCUCAGUAACGGCGAGUGAAGCGGCAACAGCUCAAAUUUGAAAUCUGGCUCUUUCAGGGUCCGAGUUGUAAUUUGCAGAGGAUGCUUCGGCUUCGGCUUGGGUCUAAGUUCCUUGGAACAGGACGUCACAGAGGGUGAGAAUCCCGUAUGUGGCCCUUGCCCCCGCCAUGUGAAGCUCCUUCGACGAGUCGAGUUGUUUGGGAAUGCAGCUCUAAAUGGGAGGUAAAUUUCUUCUAAAGCUAAAUAUUGGCCAGAGACCGAUAGCGCACAAGUAGAGUGAUCGAAAGAUGAAAAGCACUUUGGAAAGAGAGUUAAAAAGUACGUGAAAUUGUUGAAAGGGAAGCGCUUGCAACCAGACUUGCACGCAGUUGCUCAGCCGGUCUUCUGACCGGUGCACUCUUCUGCGUUCAGGCCAGCAUCAGUUCGGGCGGUCGGAUAAAGGCCUUGGGAAUGUGGCUCCCCUCGGGGAGUGUUAUAGCCCUCGGUGCAAUGCGGCCAGCCUGGACUGAGGUCCGCGCUUCGGCUAGGAUGCUGGCGUAAUGGUUGUAAGCGGCCCGUCUUGAAACACGGACCAAGGAGUCUAACAUCUAUGCGAGUGUUUGGGUGUCAAACCCGUGCGCGAAAUGAAAGUGAACGGAGGUGGGAACCUUUUAGGUGCACCAUCGACCGAUCCUGAUGUCUUCGGAUGGAUUUGAGUAUGAGCAUAGCUGUUGGGACCCGAAAGAUGGUGAACUAUGCCUGAAUAGGGUGAAGCCAGAGGAAACUCUGGUGGAGGCUCGCAGCGGUUCUGACGUGCAAAUCGAUCGUCAAAUUUGGGUAUAGGGGCGAA
rnacentral:rRNA from 1 species